UUAGUGGCGGACGGGUGAGUAACGCGUGGGGAACCUGCCCUGUACAGGGGGGUAACACUUAGAAAUAGGUGCUAAUACCGCAUAAGCGCACAGUAUCGCAUGAUACAGUGUGAAAAACUCCGGUGGUACAGGAUGGACCCGCGUCUGAUUAGCUGGUUGGCGGGGUAACGGCCCACCAAGGCGACGAUCAGUAGCCGGCCUGAGAGGGUGAACGGCCACAUUGGGACUGAGACACGGCCCAAACUCCUACGGAAGGCAGCAG
rnacentral:rRNA from 1 species